GAUGAACGCUAGCGGCAGGCCUAAUACAUGCAAGUCGGACGGGAUUCAGGAGCUUGCUUCUGAUGAGAGUGGCGCACGGGUGCGUAACACGUAUGUAACCUACCUUUAUCAGGGGGAUAGCCUCUCGAAAGAGAGAUUAAGCCCGCAUAAAAUCACAGCACAGCAUUGUGUAAUGAUCAAAUAUUUAUAGGAUAAAGAUGGGCAUGCGGAACAUUAGCUAGAUGGCGGGGUAACGGCCCACCAUGGCGACGAUGUUUAGGGGAUCUGAGAGGAUGGCCCCCCACACUGGUACUGGGACACGGACCAGACUCCUACGGGAGGCAGCAGUAAGGAAUAGUGGUCAAUGGGCGGAAGCCUGAACCAGCCAUGCCGCGUGCAGGAAGACGGCCCUACGGGUUGUAAACUGCUUUUAUACGGGAAUAAACCCAGAUACGUGUAUCUGGCUGAAUGUACUGUAAGAAUAAGGAUCGGCUAACUCCGUG
rnacentral:rRNA from 1 species